AUUGAACGCUGGCGGCAGGCCUAACACAUGCAAGUCGAGCGGAUGAGUGGAGCUUGCUCCAUGAUUCAGCGGCGGACGGGUGAGUAAUGCCUAGGAAUCUGCCUGGUAGUGGGGGACAACGUUUCGAAAGGAACGCUAAUACCGCAUACGUCCUACGGGAGAAAGUGGGGGAUCUUCGGACCUCACGCUAUCAGAUGAGCCUAGGUCGGAUUAGCUAGUUGGUGAGGUAAAGGCUCACCAAGGCGACGAUCCGUAACUGGUCUGAGAGGAUGAUCAGUCACACUGGAACUGAGACACGGUCCAGACUCCUACGGGAGUCAGCAGUGGGGAAUAUUGGACAAUGGGCGAAAGCCUGAUCCAGCCACGCCGCGUGUGUGAAGAAGGUCUUCGGAUUGUAAAGCACUUUAAGUUGGGAGGAAGGGCAGUAAGUUAAUACCUUGCUGUUUUGACGUUACCAACAGAAUAAGCACCGGCUAACUUCGUGCCAGCCGCCGCGGUAACAC
rnacentral:rRNA from 1 species